AAAGCAUGAUGAGGGCAUUGAUUCAAUAAAUUAUUAAACCUUUCCCAUGCCUCAGAAAAAGACUCAUCUAAUUGUUCCUCAAACUGCAUGAUCUUGUCCCUUAAUGC